CAAAAUUCUGAAGUACAUAAAAAUCUAAAAAAAAAAUAAAAAUUACUAGAGACCCUGUUGUGCUAUUGUAGUGGCGUUCUUACAUGCUAAAAUGAAACUCCAUAAAAAAAAUUCGCAAGAACAACAUCAUAAGCACUAAAAUGCUGAUUACUUCAUUUGCUCCAAGAUGAAAAGAACCUUAUAGCAUCUCAAUGGCUCCAGCAAGGGUUGUGUAUACAUCAACACUGAAAAUGGAAAGACUUCCAUCAGUCACUCUACAUGCAAGAAAACAAGGAUUUAUUGAGCUGAUAUUCAGUAUGUUUCUAAUCACAUAUUUAUAGUUGAUAUUCUAAAAUCUCCAUUUCAUAUACACUUACCCCUAAAAAUACAUAAGCCUCUUACAAUUUUCAAUGCUUUAUGUGAAAAGGACAAACCAAAGAAUAUCACAAAACCGAAAAAAACCUCAGAGAAUGACACUAAAUCCAGAGACACAUAAAUCUGUAGGGAUUUCUUACCCUUUGACAAAGAAUGUACAGUUGACAACACAACAAUUGAAAUUUGGAAAAUUCACAAGAAAAGAUUUCUCUACAACAUAAAAUAAAUAAGAAAUAGUCACAUGACUACAAUAAAACUUGAUGGACUGACAUAAAAUCCAAGAACAACACAUUUUCAAUAUAAUUAAAGCAUGUUUAAUAAGGUGGAUAGAUGGCUGAACUUUAUGAAGAUCGAAAACAAAGUUAAAAUUUAUCAAAUGUACUUCUAGUACUAUAGAUUAAGCAAGCACUAUGUAUUUAACAUAGUACCCAUGCAAGCAUUUCAAUAUAUUACAGCAUCGUACCUUUCGCCUAUGACAUAAUACACGUAUAAGCAUUUUGAAUGGAUAUUUGACAGUGUUGCAGAUAAAGGUAGUGUAAUUGACGACAAGAGUCCCUAUCGUUCGAAGAUGACAUGAUUAAGAAGGGUAAAAAUGUGUGUAUACUUAAUCCUUAACAUUUAAUUUAAAUAAAAUCAAUAUAACAAAUGAAAAAGAAGAAAAUAAAAUUUCGAAAGCCAUCUUUUUAUCCAAAUCAACCAGCCUAUUGCCCGAACUCCAGUGUUUCAAGUGCUUGAGCUGCAUUAUCAUCCGUCCAUAGUUCCUUUAGCAUUCCUAGCCAGAACAACCCAAAAUCAGGCAAAAUGACAAGUGGAAUACCAUCAACCUAGCUAAUCUACAGAUCUCAUUAGAAACCAUAAUCUCCUUAAAGCAUUCUGAUUCGUGUCUCUCACCCUCUUGAACAUGCAAUGCUGAAUACUAAACAUUCAAGAGCAAAAAAAUUUCAUAAGAUGUGCUCCAGAAUAUACCUGAUAUCAAUAGUCAAAACAUCAGCAUUACUUCUUGGAGUUGGAACCGCAUAAUAGGGCGAGAAAACUUGUUUAAGAAGAUAUGAGUUUCAUUUUCCUCAGUUACAAGGCCAUAAAUUUUGCCUAGAAAACGAGAGUAAAAUCCCAAGCUGAUCGCAUAUUUCACAGGUUAAACCACC
rnacentral:lncRNA from 1 species